rnacentral:tRNA from 1 species
AUGGCAUUGGUGCAACCGGUAGCAUUACGGUCUCCAAAACCGUCGAUGUUGGUUCGAGUCCAACAUGCCGUG